UACUUGGUAAAAUAUAGAAUAUUUUCUUUUCUUGUUAGAAGAAAAAUGAUUGAUCUCAAUGUUAAGAUUAAGUUUUACUUAUUAUUUAAUCUACUAUAAAUAGUUUGGAAUACUAGAAUUAUUUUAAUAUAAGUGAGGUUGAAAACUGUUUUAAAAUGGUAAAAUUGCGUCCCCCAUCAUACAUGGCUAGACGUGUUUUUGCUCUUAUCCUUUUAGGAAUUACAGGUUAUUCAAUUUUUUACAUGACUCUUAGUAAACCUCCUAAUUAUAUAUAUUAUGAGACAUCAGAUCGAAAAUUAAUGCUCAAACAAAUUGAACAGAAAAUUUCAAAUUCAGUGUCUGACCAAGAUGUCAUGAAUAGGUAAUUAUUUAACUUUAAUGUUUAUUUUGUAAUCAUCUAUGACAACAAUUAUUUUAAUUAUUUGUUAGCCAUUAUUUGUGUAAGUUAUUUAUUGGACUUUUGAUUUUAGUUCAAUCAAUCAAACUAGUAAUUAAUAAAAUA